GCCAGGUGCGGUGGCAUGUGCCUGUAGUCCCAGCUACUCAGGAGGCUGAGGCUGGAGGAUCUCUUGAGCCCAGGAGUUCUGGGCUGUAGGGCACUAUGCCGACUGGGUGUCUGCACUAAGUUCGGCAUCAAUAUGGUGACCUCCCGGCAGCAGGGACCACCAGGUUGCCUAAGGAGGGGUGAACUGGCCCAGGUCGGAAACGGAGCAGGUCAAAACUCCCGGGCUGUUCAGUAGUGGGAUAGUGCCUGUGAAUAGUCACUGCACUCCAGCCUGGGCAACAUAGCAAGACCCAGUCUCUU
ensembl:misc_RNA Metazoa_SRP Metazoan signal recognition particle RNA